ACCACGGUGGUCUAGCGGUUAGAACGCUGGCCUUGUAAUCCUGGGGUCCCGGGUUCAAUUCCCGGUGGUGCUC
rnacentral:tRNA from 1 species